rnacentral:rRNA from 1 species
GAUGAACGCUGGCGGCGUGCCUAAUACAUGCAAGUCGAGCGAACAGACGAGGAGCUUGCUCCUCUGACGUUAGCGGCGGACGGGUGAGUAACACGUGGAUAACCUACCUAUAAGACUGGGAUAACUUCGGGAAACCGGAGCUACUACCGGAUAAUAUAUUGAACCGCAUGGUUCAAUAGUGAAAGACGGUUUUGCUGUCACUUAUAGAUGGUUCCGCGCCGCAUUAGCUAGUUGGUAAGGUAACGGCUUACCAAGGCAACGAUGCGUAGCCGACCUGAGAGGGUGAUCGGCCACACUGGAACUGAGACACGGUCCAGACUCCUACGGGAGGCAGCAGUAGGGAAUCUUCCGCAAUGGGCGAAAGCCUGACGGAGCAACACCGCGUGAGUGAUGAAGGUCUUCGGAUCGUAAAACUCUGUUGUUAGGAAAGAACAAAUGUGUAAGUAACUAUGCACGUCUUGACGGUACCUAAUCAGAAAGCCACGGCUAACUACGUG